CAGUUCGGUCCCUAUCUGCCGUGGGCGCUGGAGAAUUGAGGGGGGCUGCUCCUAGUACGAGAGGACCGGAGUGGACGCAUCACUGGUGUUCGGGUUGUCAUGCCAAUGGCACUGCCCGGUAGCUAAAUGCGGAAGAGAUAAGUGCUGAAAGCAUCUAAGCACGAAACUUGCCCCGAGAUGAGUUCUCCCUGACUCCUUGAGAGUCCUGAAGGAACGUUGAAGACGACGACGUUGAUAGGCCGGGUGUGUAAGCGCAGCGAUGCGUUGAGCUAACCGGUACUAAUGAACCGUGAGGCUUAACCUUACAACGCCGAAG
rnacentral:rRNA from 1 species